CCGCACUGAUUCGUUCGUCCAAAUUCAAAAUUUACCACUUCAAUUAACUACGCAGUAAAAUCGAACGCUCAUUGGUCCUCGCCUGCUUCGUCACAGAUUGCGACAGCAGUGUUCCUGUCUAGGUGUGUUUGAAUGAUGCGCGCUUUCACAAAGUGAAUCAGGAGGAUAGUCUGGGUAAUAUUUUUAGCGAUUAAAAACUUAAAUUGUGCUCUGUACCUCACACCAAACUAUUGUAUUUCACCUGCGGUGGCAACGCAGCAUCAUUUGGACUACUUUUGACCUGGCCAUGUACCCUGCCCUCUUCAUACAGGUUGUCAUGAUGUCAUUACAGAAGGCAGCCGAAGAACAACUUGGGACACCUUCUGAAAACAGAGACAGUGACUCACACGCACACACACACACACACAGACAAUAAAUAUAUAAUUAAUAUAAAUCAAUAUGUUCUUGUUACUGUUUCCCAUUAUUUGGACACAUUUUGAUGCUUUACUGUGGAAAUUGUCAUAUCAAUAAAGCCAAUUUGAAAAUAAUUGAAUUGACUGAUAGUUUCCUGUAAUGUGUUACUAAAGGUUCUAAAAACAUUCAGUAAAUGUGGGGAAGGACCUAAAUAGGACCAAAAAAACAUUUUAGGUUGGUCCAGCAAAUGUUAUGGGAAUGUAGUGUAGAGACUAAUAGGGGACUUCCUAUAGUAAUAACCUACGUCCUUGACACCAGCGUGGACGUUCUGACAACGUUUUGGGAACGUCACAUUUCCAAAUAAAAUAUGGUCCCCUAAACGUCCCAAGAACGUCCUGAAUGUUCUGUGAAGGUCAUCCAAAUAACGUCCCCCAAACCUUUAAAGAACUCCACAUCAUGACCGUCUCAGAACGUUAUGGGGACGUUACUAAACAACGUCCUUGACACCAGUGGGGACGUUCUGAGGACGUUCUGGGAACGUCACCUUUCCAAAUAAAAUAUGGUCCCCUAAACGUCCCAAAAACGUCCUGAAUGUUCUGUGAAGGUCUUCCAAAUAACGUCCCCCAAACCUUUAAAGAACUCCACAUUGUGACCAUCUCAGAACGUUAUGGGGACGUUACUAAACAACGUCCUUGA